AGAGUUUGAUCCUGGCUCAGGAUGAACGCUAGCGGCAGGCUUAAUACAUGCAAGUCGUGGGGCAGCAGCUCUGUAGCAAUACAGAGGCUGGCGACCGGCAAACGGGUGCGGAACACGUACGCAACUUACCCAUAACUGAUGAAUAGCCCUCCGAAAGGAGGAUUAAUACAUCGUAACAUAAUGAAAGGGCAUCCUUUUAUUAUUAUAGCUCCGGCGGUUUUGGAUGGGCGUGCGGCUGAUUAGGUAGUUGGCGGAGUAAUAGCCCACCAAGCCUACGAUCAGUAACUGGUGUGAGAGCACGACCAGUCACACGGGCACUGAGACACGGGCCCGACUCCUACGGGAGGCAGCAGUAAGGAAUAUUGGUCAAUGGACGCAAGUCUGAACCAGUCCAUGCCGCGUGAAGGAUGAAGGUCCUCUGGAUUGUAAACUUCUUUUAUAUGGGACGAAACCCUCUUAUUCUUGAGAGACUGACGGUACCAUACGAAUAAGCACCGGCUAACUCCGUGCCAGCAGCCGCGGUAAUACGGAGGGUGCAAGCGUUAUACCGGAUUCACUGGGUUUAAAGGGUGCGUCAGGUGGGUCUGUAAGUACGUAGGUGAAAUCUNNUAGGCUUAACCUGGAAAACUGCCAUGGAUACUAUAGGUCUUUGAAUACCGUGAGAAGGGUGAAGCCGGAAUUACAUGUCAUUAGUUAAGCCAGGUUGNAACAUGCUUAAGGAUAUGACGAUAA
rnacentral:rRNA from 1 species